rnacentral:piRNA from 1 species
UUUGCCACGUUAGCUUAUCGUUAGCUUAUC